UUGGAGGGCAAGUCUGGUGCCAGCAGCCGCGGUAAUUCCAGCUCCAAUAGCGUAUAUUAAAGUUGCUGCAGUUAAAAAGCUCGUAGUUGAAUUUCGGGACCAUCAUGUCGGUCGUGCCUCGGUACGUACUGGCAUUGUUGGUUUCUCCCUUCUGACGAACCAUGAUGUCAUUUAUUUGGUGUUGUGGGAAAUCAGGACUGUUACUUUGAAAAAAUUAGAGUGUUUAAAGCAGGCUCACGCUUGAAUACAUUAGCAUGGAAUAAUGAAAUAGGACGUUUGAUUCUAUUUUGUUGGUUUCUAGGAUCGACGUAAUAAUUAAUAGGGAUAGUUGGGGGCAUUAGUAUUCAAUUGUCAGAGGUGAAAUUCUUGGAUUUAUUGAAGACUAACUACUGCGAAAGCAUUUGCCAAGGAUGUUUUCAUUAAUCAAGAACGAAAGUCAGGGGAUCGAAGACGAUCAGAUACCGUCGUAGUCUUAACCAUAAACUAUGCCGACUAGGGAUCGGAUGAUGUUAAUUUUUUAAUGACUCAUUCGGCGCCUUACGGGAAACCAAAGUGUUUGGGUUC
rnacentral:rRNA from 1 species